AACUGCUUAGAGGUUAAGCCCGAUGAACUUGAAUAUCCGUUUUAGAAAAUUCAUCAUUAUGAUUAUAUUAUUAAAAAUAUUAUAAAAAUGGUGUGCAUUUUUUCUAUAUGGACAUUGUAAUCUAUUAACAUAAAAAUUUAUCAAAAGAUCAUUAUGCGAAAGUUUAUUCACAUUAUUUUGCUUGCAAUUUAACAUAGAAUAAAUGCUCUUGAUUUGAUAAAGUGUUGAUAGAUUUAUUAUAUAUAGUGUUAAAAUAUAUUUUUUAUAUUUUAUUAUAGCAUAUUAAUUAUUAAUUUAUAUGUUUAUUAUAUGCACUUAUAUGAUUAACAAUGCGAAAGAUUCAGGAUACCUUCGGGA
rnacentral:rRNA from 1 species